UUGCUGGUAGAAAAAGUGACAGUAGCUGACACUGGUAAAAAAAUGGCAAUAGUAAUGCCAUGUUUCAAGCCUUAAGAACAUUGAAACUGUUAAGGUCCCUGAAAAUGCCUGCAACA
rnacentral:snoRNA from 1 species